GCAAAACGCGAAGAACCUUACCAGGUCUUGACAUCCCGCUGACCGCUCUAGAGAUAGAGUUUUCCCUUCGGGGACAGCGGUGACAGGUGGUGCAUGGUUGUCGUCAGCUCGUGUCGUGAGAUGUUGGGUUAAGUCCCGCAACGAGCGCAACCCUCGAUCUUAGUUGCCAGCAUUCAGUUGGGCACUCUAAGGUGACUGCCGGUGAUAAACCGGAGGAAGGUGGGGAUGACGUCAAAUCAUCAUGCCCCUUAUGACCUGGGCUACACACGUGCUACAAUGGACGGUACAGAGGGUCGCAACCCCGCGAGGGUGAGCAAAUCCCAUAAAACCGUUCUCAGUUCGGAUUGUAGGCUGCAACUCGCCUACAUGAAGCCGGAAUCGCUAGUAAUCGUGGAUCAGCAUGCCACGGUGAAUACGUUCCCGGGUCUUGUACACACCG
rnacentral:rRNA from 1 species